rnacentral:lncRNA from 1 species
UAAGAAGGAAAAAAAAAAAAAAAAAGCUUUUGUGGUUUUUUGUUUAACCGAAGCCCCAAUAUUUCAAAACAAAUGUGACAUCUGUCUGUCUGCCUUUCAACUGAUAUUUUUGUGGAGAAAUCCUUUCUAGAUGAACUCUAGCCUGACAUAACAUUGAAGUGCAUGCUCUCUCUCUCUCUCUCUCGUUUACAUAAAUACAUCUUUUAUUAACUGUCGGUACAGGAACUAUUCAUCAUGUAAGACAUAAACAGCUAAUAAGCAAACAAGUUGGAUGCUUUGCUGGCAUAAGUCAGCAGAACUCUGUGAGUUCAAUGGGUCUCCAUCACUUUACAUCAUCUCAAGGUCCAAUCCAGAGACACAGGCAGGAACACGGGCCAAAUCCUGACUGAAUCUCCAUUAUAUUUUCCUCAGCUGUUGCUAAAGCUGAUUUGGAUGACAGACAGCGGAAAGCAAGCAGGAGCAAGCCCAUACACAGAGGCAGUGCAUGUGAGGCUAAGGAAUGAAUGCCUCUGUACAACGUGGUGCGAGACAGACGGAUAAACAUCCCUCCCGGCUGAUUGAUAGUCUUAUUAAAGAUUGCAGUACCUGAAAUAAUCCCCUGUAGCUUAAUAAGGGUAAGAGCCCUUUCUCUUUUCCUCUCAGAUUGGCUCUAGGGCAUGCUUGGGACUCGGCUUAUGCUCUGUCCAAUCUUGUAGCGUUACUUAAUUAGCCUUUAUUGAAAGACAUUAGCAUUGAUCAACUGUUGGACACGUUUUUAUUGGGGGAGAUGACCAAAGUGAACAGUUUAUCUACAAAAAAUGCAAAUUCAUUCAGUCCAAAACUGAAUCAAAAUUUGCAAAUUUGAGUUCAGUAAUCUUUUGCUAUACUUGUAUUGUUGCUAUAAUUUUAUAAUUGGUUUAAUUGGUAUGCAAGGGUUUUGAGCCCUUAGUUGCCAUACAUAAUAUGCAAAAGGAGGAAGAAAUAGUGGGGACGGCUUGAUUCCCUGGUUACACAAUUCCUUCUUUGAGUUUCAUAUUUUAUUUUAGUAUUGAACUUCUUGCCCUCCUCUUAAAGGGCUUCUUUGCACUGUUUCCCACCCUGUGGUCCAUCACCAGUCACUACUGACACUGUUAAUGCAUUCAUCCUUGCUGUCUUCCUCCUGCUUCCCUCUUACUUUUUCACUCUGUACCCUGUCUGCUGGAGACAACCUUCUGGACACUGUCCCCCUCGUUCCAUAGAUCCCUCAUUGUUCCUUUUUUUUAAUUUUUUUUCCAGGCAGCUCCCAGGGACAUUUAUCACCUGACUGAAUGUCCUUUCUAAAUUAAUAAUUAGAGAGCAAACAAAAUGUGUGCAUAGCCAACACUGUGUUCAACUGUUGUAGCUUGCUGAUCCAAAGGAUGUGAAAAUCAGCGUGCACCCCUCCUUUUUUGAUCAGGGUUUGCUGCUACAUUUCUGAUCCUUGCUAUGAUUUUUUUUCUUUGUAAUGUGCUGCUGCAACCCAUAUAAUAAAUUAGAUUAUAAUCCCUGAUG